GAUGAAGAAAGUAGCAAAAUGCGAUAAGUUAUGUGAAUUGCAGAAUUCAGUGAAUCAUCGAAUCUUUGAACGCACAUUGCGCCCGCUGGUAUUCCGGCGGGCAUGCCUGUUCGAGCGUCAUUUCAACCCUCAAGCCCCCGGGUUUGGUGUUGGGGAUCGGCUCUGCCCUUCUGGGCGGUGCCGCCCCCGAAAUACAUUGGCGGUCUCGCUGCAGCCUCCAUUGCGUAGUAGCUAACACCUCGCAACUGGAACGCGGCGCGGCCAUGCCGUAAAACCCCAACUUCUGAAUGUUGACCUCGGAUCAGGUAGGAAUACCCGCUGAACUUAAGCAUAUCAAUAAGCGGAGGA
rnacentral:misc_RNA from 1 species